GCGGUUGGUGCAGUCUGGUAGGGUGUUUCGCAACGUUGUUGCCCCUCGCAUUGGUCUUCGGAACCAAGGGUCGGGGGUUCGAAUCCCUCCAGGCGUA
rnacentral:tRNA from 1 species